rnacentral:rRNA from 1 species
GAUGAACGCUGGCGGCGUGCCUAAUACAUGCAAGUCGAGCGAACAGACGAGGAGCUUGCUCCUCUGACGUUAGCGGCGGACGGGUGAGUAACACGUGGAUAACCUACCUAUAAGACUGGGAUAACUUCGGGAAACCGGAGCUAAUACCGGAUAAUAUAUUGAACCGCAUGGUUCAAUAGUGAAAGACGGUUUUGCUGUCACUUAUAGAUGGAUCCGCGCCGCAUUAGCUAGUUGGUAAGGUAACGGCUUACCAAGGCAACGUAGCGUAGCCGACCUGAGAGGGGGAUCGGCCACACGGGAACUGAGAAACGGUCCAGAUCCCUACGGAGGCAGCCGUGGGGAAUCUUGCGCAAUGGGCGAAAGCCUGAACGAGCAAAGCCGCGUGGGUGAAGAAGGUCUUCGGGUUGUAAAACCCUGUUAUUAGGGAAGAAAAAAAGUGGAAGUAAACAUGGCCGUUCUGACGGUACCCAAAGAAAAAGCCCCGGCUAACUUCGUG